rnacentral:lncRNA from 1 species
GCUACCGAGUGAUCCAUAAAAAUCUGAACACUUUGAAUUUUAAACUUCCCCUCAACAUGCACCAGAAAGGUGUAGUCAAAAGGGUUGGCAUGAGAACAAUAGGGGGGCCAAAAGUUUUAAAAAAAAACUCAAAAGACUAAUUCAGAAGAGUUUUGCAACGGAGGAUAUGGGUUUCUUACAUUGUUGCUGUCAAAAGUGAUCUCUCCACCCUCACGAAGCUCUUUUCACCCACGUUUUUUAUAGUUCUAUGGACAAUCUGGUAGUAAACCCCGAUAUACCUUGCAUGGGCCCUCAUGGAUUUGAGGGGAUUGGACUGAGCUGUUUUCCUUAACUCCUCCCUAUCCAGUUUGGUAUUUUUGAGAGAGCCCUUCUUCCUCUCCAACGUUUCAGACUUUUUGACAAAGUAGACGGGCAACUGCUUGGAGUGCGUGAAUAGCGAUUCGUAGAUCCCUUACGAGUCAUUUUAUCGACUAGGACGUAAGCUAAAGAGCUCAGCUUCUUUUUUUUUUCUAACUUAUUGUGUAUGCUUUUAUAUAUCGAAAUAUGAAUUAAUUUCAAUUGCUCAACCUUCAUUAAUCAUUGAAUUAGUAAGUGUCCAGAUUUCCCUGGACCACCUUGUACAGAAAACGCAUAAGACUUGCAUCCCUAGCCAUAACCUCCCCUGCUCCUUUGCUACGCAAUCUGAACAUAUGUAAUGAUAUUUAAAAUAAUAAUUACAUAAGUUGUAUUUUAUCAGGCUCGCAAAUGCAGUCUCGUAAAUUCUAAAUCCUAGAAAGCUUCAAUUUCAUAAAAGAGUCAAAUUAUGAGUGCAAAUAUAAUUUCAUAUUUACACAACUAUUUGGCUCUUUUUACAACUUCAUUAUGCAUGUACAGCGCAUGUAUUAUGUAAUUUUAAUGUAUAUAUAUUAAGCAAAUACGAUAAUAUAGUCGUGUUUGAAUCAUAUUCGUGAUACAAAUUUCCUAAGAUUUGUUUCACUAAAGUCAAUCAUUAUUCCUGUUACUAAUAUUGGUAUUCGUUUGAAUCGAGGAAUCGGCUGCAAGGAUUAAGGCGAUUGUCUUUUGGAUUCGCAAGAAAUAAUUCUCAUCGAAUAUCUGGAAAAGGGUCAAACUAUUACAGCGACAUUGCACCAGCUCACACCUCAGCAGUUGGGGUCGGAAAAUUAAUGGAAAUAGAGUUCCAACUCGAGAGGCCUACAACCUAGUAAUCACACACCUUCAUUCUUCUUUCAUCCAUCACCAUAUCAUGGAUUUCAGGAGAAGUAACAGGGCGUUCAGCGUCACUUGUACCCAAACGGCCACUCUGAAAAUUUGGAAACCACUUACAAACUGUUCUAAUCAACAGUAAAGAGUCCCCAUCAUUUUUAUCAAGCUCCUUUUUAGUCGCCGGAGCUGUUUUGCCUUUCAUGAAGUAAUGU